AAUGGGAUAGCGAUUGGCAAUUCGUUUCCCAAUGUCCUAAAUAGACGUAGACCCGCCUCCAGAUGCGACAGCACCGAGGCCAUCAACCGUGGAGUUAUGGGAUAUAAUAGGCUUGCAGUAAAAUGCUCACCUCUCUCCACACGCCGAUGGCACGACAGUUGCAGUUGCGGGCGUAAAUUGGAGCCCUUUUCAGGACCCUUGUGGCCUAGCAUCCACCAUACAUAAUUUGACCUCGGAUCAGGUAGGGAUACCCGCUGAACUUAAGCAUAUCAAUAAGCGGAGGAAAAGAAACCAACAGGGAUUGCCCCAGUAACG
rnacentral:rRNA from 1 species